rnacentral:rRNA from 1 species
UACGUAGGGGGCAAGCGUUGUCCGGAAUCAUUGGGCGUAAAGAGCGUGUAGGCGGUUCGGUAAGUCGGCUGUGAAAGUCCAGGGCUCAACCCUGGGAUGCCGGUCGAUACUGCCGGACUAGAGUUCGGAAGAGGCGAGUGGAAUUCCCGGCGUAGCGGUGAAAUGCGUAGAUAUCAGGAGGAACACCUGCGGUGUAGACGGCUUACUGGACCACCACUGACGCUGAGGCACGAAAGCGUGGGUAGCAAACAGG